rnacentral:rRNA from 1 species
GACGUAGGGCGCGAGCGUUGUCCGGAUUCAUUGGGCGUAAAGAGCGUGUAGGCGGCCAGGUAGGUCGGUUGUGAAAACUGGAGGCUCAACCUUCAGAGGUCGACCGAAACCAUCUGGCUAGAGUCCGGGAGAGGAGAGUGGAAUUCCUGGUGUAGCGGUGAAAUGCGCAGAUAUCGGGAAGAACACCCGUGGCGAAGGCGGCUCUCUGGGACGGUACUGACGCUGAGACGCGAAAGCGUGGGGAGCGAACAGG